rnacentral:rRNA from 1 species
UGGGGUGAUUAAAAAAUUUAAUAAACUUUUUUUGUAAAUUUAUAUUGAUUAAUAAAUUUAUGAUCCAAUAAUUUUGAUUAUAAGAAAAAUUACCUUAGGGAUAACAGCGUAAUUUUAUUAAAGAGUUCUUAUCGAAAAUAAAGUUUGCGACCUCGAUGUUGGAUUAAAAUUUAUAUUUGGUGUAGAAGCUAAAUAAUUUAAGUCUGUUCGACUUUUAAAAUUUUAC